rnacentral:rRNA from 1 species
GACGAACGCUGGCGGCGUGCUUAACACAUGCAAGUCGAACGGAAAGGCGCGGCUUUUGUGGGGUGCUCGAGUGGCGAACGGGUGAGUAACACGUGAGUAACCUGCCCUUGACUGUGGGAUAACUUCAGGAAACUGGGGCUAAUACCGGAUAGGAGCUCCUGCUGCAUGGUGGGGGUUGGAAAGUUUCGGCGGUUGGGGAUGGACUCGCGGCUUAUCAGCUGGUUGGUGGGGUAGUGGCUUACCAAGGCUUUGACGGGUAGCCGGCCUGGGAGGGUGACCGGCCACAUUGGGACUGCGAUACGGCGCAGACUGGAACGGGAGGCAGCAGUGGGGAAUAUUGCACAAUGGGCGGAAGCCUGAUGCAGAAACGCCGCGUGCGGGAUGACGGCCUUCGGGUUGUAAACCGCUUUCGCCUGUGACGCAGCGUGAGUGACGGUAAUGGGUAAAGAAGCACCGGCUAACUACGUG